rnacentral:rRNA from 1 species
AGAGUUUGAUCCUGGCUCAGGAUGAACGCUGACAGAAUGCUUAACACAUGCAAGUCUAUGAGAAGAUCUACUUCGGUAGAAGGUAUCAUGGCGGACGGGUGAGUAACGCGUAAAGAACUUGCCUCUUAGACUGGGAUAACAGAUGGAAACGUCUGAUAAGACUAGAUAUAAUAGCGACAUGGCAUCAUGUUGUUAUGAAAGGUAACACUAAGAGAGAGCUUUGCGUCCUAUUAGUUAGUUGGUGAGGUAAUGGCUCACCAAGACGAUGAUAGGUAGCCGGCCUGAGAGGGUGAACGGCCACAAGGGGACUGAGAUACGGCCCUUACUCUUACGGGAGGCAGCAGUGGGGAAUAUUGGACAAUGGAGGAAACUCUGAUCCAGCAAUUCUGUGUGCACGAUGAAGGUUUUCGGAUCGUAAAGUGCUUUCAGUAGGGAAGAAGAAAGUGACGGUACCUACAGAAGAAGCGACGGCUAAAUACGUGCCAGCAGCCGCGGUAAUACGUAUGUCGCAAGCGUUAUCCGGAAUUAUUGGGCGUAAAGGGCAUCUAGGCGGUCAAUCAAGUCGAAGGUGAAAACUUGUGGCUCAACCAUAAGCUUGCCUACGAAACUGAUUAACUAGAGUACUGGAGAGGUGGACGGAACUACACGAGUAGAGGUGAAAUUCGUAGAUAUGUGUAGGAAUGCCGAUGAUGAAGAUAGUUCACUGGACAGAAACUGACGCUGAAGUGCGAAAGCUAGGGGAGCAAACAGGAUUAGAUACCCUGGUAGUCG